rnacentral:rRNA from 1 species
AUCCGCAUAGUUUCAGGUAAAGCAGGGGCCGCAGGCCUUGCCUACAGGGCGCCGAUGCAGUUAGUAGUUGUGGGGUAAAGCUUACCAAGCUACCAUCUGUAGCUGUCGAGAGGACGACCAGCCACACUGGGACUGAGACCGGCCCAGACUCCUACGGGAGGCAGCAGUGGGGAAUUUGGACAAUGGGCGCAAGCUGAUCCAGCAAUGCCGCGUGCAGGAUGAAGGCCUUCGGGUUGUAAACUGCUUUUGUACGGAACGAAAAAGCUCUCUUAAUACAGGGGGUGAAUGACGGUACCGUAAGAAUAAGCACCGGCUAAUACGUGCCAGCAGCCGCGGUAAUACGUAGGGUGCAAGCGUUAAUCGGAAUUACUGGGCGUAAAGCGUGCGCAGGCGGUUUUGUAAGACAGAGGUGAAAUCCCCGGGCUCAACCUGGGAACUGCCUUUGUGACUGCAAAGCUGGAGUGCGGCAGAGGGGGAUGGAAUUCCGCGUGUAGCAGUGAAAUGCGUAGAUAUGCGGAGGAACACCGAUGGCGAAGGCAAUCCCCUGGGCCUGCGCUGACGCUCAUGCACGAAAGCGUGGGGAGCAAACAGGAUUAGAUACCCUGGUAGUCCACGCCCUAAACGAUGUCAACUGGUUGUUGGGAAUUCACUUUCUCAGUAACGAAGCUAACGCGUGAAGUUGACCGCCUGGGGAGUACGGCCGCAAGGUUAAAACUCAAAGGAAUUGACGGGGACCCGCACAAGCGGUGGAUGAUGUGGUUUAAUUCGAUGCAACGCGAAAAACCUUACCCACCUUUGACAUGUACGGAAGUUGCCAGAGAUGGCUUCGUGCUCGAAAGAGAGCCGUAACACAGGUGCUGCAUGGCUGUCGUCAGCUCGUGUCGGAGAUUG